GACUUCUGAGGCGCCCAGUGGUCUGCAGUCAGGAGUGUGUGGUGGCCGAGGGAGCAGCCUCCCUAUCCUCGGCAUGACCUCCUUGUCUCAGGUGCCUGCACCUCCCUGGCUGCUGUCCAGGCUCCAUGAGUGCCCAGAGCUCCUUGGAAGACAGCCCGGAGGAGGGCUCCUCGGAAGCCAGGCAGAAGCCCAAG
rnacentral:lncRNA from 1 species